CGUGACACUAGCCAACACAGUAAAAUAAGAAAAUUAUUUUAAAGAAACAAACUGUAUCCACAAGCUAUUUCUUUUGUCUGUUUUUCUGGAUUUAAGGAUUAUUUGCCUAGUCUCUACUCCAGUAAGGAUUCAAGCUAUAUUUUUCCUGUUCGAUAAGGAGAGACAGCUUUCAUAAAAGCCGAGCUGAGCACAGUUAGUCUGAGUGAUGUCACAUUACAUCCUGUCCCUCAGACUCAUUAUACCAAGUGUGUCUAUGAGCGAGAUAGAAAAGCUGCUUCUGCUGUUAGAGUAUGCAGAAACCAACUGUCCAUUGAAGUCAGG